rnacentral:rRNA from 1 species
GUCUCCAGCCAUACCACCCUGAACAAGCCCUAUCUCAUCUGAUCUCAGAAGCUAAGCAGGGUCAGGCCUGGUUAGUACCUGGAUAGGAGACCACCUAGUAAGACCAGGUGCUGUAGGCA